AGGGCACCACCAGGAGUGGAGCCUGCGGCUUAAUUUGACUCAACACGGGAAAACUCACCCGGCCCGGACACCGUAAGGAUUGACAGAUUGAGAGCUCUUUCUUAAUUCGGUGGGUGGUGGUGCAUGGCCGUUCUUAGUUGGUGGAGCGAUUUGUCUGGUUAAUUCCGAUAACGAACGAGACUCUGGCCUAUUAAAUAGACGAGAUAUUAAAAAGUAUAUCGCACUUCUUAGAGGGACAAGCGGCGUCUAGUCGCGUGAAAAAGAGCAAUAACAGGUCUGUGAUGCCCUUAGAUGUCCGGGGCUGCACGCGCGCUACACUGAAAGAAUCAGUAUGCGCUUUAACCUAGUCCGGAAGGAUUGGGUAACCCGAGCAGAUUCUUUCGUGCUUGGGAUAGGGAAUUGCAAUUAUUUCCCUUAAACGAGGAAUUCCCAGUAAAUGCGGGUCAUAAGCUCGCGUUGAUUACGUCCCUGCCCUUUGUACACACCGCCCGUCGCUACUACCGAUUGGAUGACUUAGUG
rnacentral:rRNA from 1 species